ACAGGCUUAACACAGUGCAAGUCGAGGGGCAGCAUGAACUUAGCUUGCUAAGUUUGAUGGCGACCGGCGCACGGGUGAGUACACGUAUCCAACCUUCCGUUUACUCAGGGAUAGCCUUUCGGAAAGAAAAGAUUAAUACCUGAUAGUAUGGUGAGAUUGCAUGAUAACACCAUUAAAGAUUUAUUGGUAAACGAUGGGGGAUGCGUUCCAUUAGGUAGUAGGCGGGGUAACGGCCCACCUAGCCUGCGAUGGAUAGGGGUUCUGAGAGGAAGGUCCCCCCACAUUGGAACUGAGACACGGUCCAAACUCCUACGGGGAGGCAGCAGUGGGGAAUAUUGCACAAUGGGCGCAAGCCUGAUGCAGCGACGCCGCGUGAAGGAUGAAGUAUUUCGGUAUGUAAACUUCUAUCAGCAGGGAAGAAAAUGACGGUACCUGACUAAGAAGCCCCGGCUAACUACGUG
rnacentral:rRNA from 1 species